CCUACGGGCGGCAGCAGUGGGGAAUAUUGCGCAAUGGGGGCAACCCUGACGCAGCCAUGCCGCGUGAAUGAAGAAGGCCUUCGGGUUGUAAAGUUCUUUCGGUGAUGAGGAAGGUUGGUGUGUUAAUAGCAUGCCAAAUUGACGUUAAAUACAGAAGAAGCACCGGCUAACUCCGUGCCAGCAGCCGCGGUAAUACGGGGGGUGCGAGCGUUAAUCGGAAUAACUGGGCGUAAAGGGCACGUAGGCGGACCUUUAAGUGAGGUGUGAAAUCCCCGGGCUUAACCUGGGAAUUGCAUUUCAUACUGGGGGUCUGGAGUACUUUAGGGAGGGGUAGAAUUCCACGUGUAGCGGUGAAAUGCGUAGAGAUGUGGAGGAAUACUGAAGGCGAAGGCAGCCCCUUGGGGAUGUACUGACGCUGAUGUGCGAAAGCGUGGGGAGCAAACAGGAUUAGAUACCCUAGUAGUC
rnacentral:rRNA from 1 species